rnacentral:rRNA from 1 species
CCUACGGGUGGCUGCAGUGAGGAAUAUUGCACAAUGGAGGCAACCCUGAUGCAGCGAAGCCGCGUGAGUGAAGGAGUCUUUCUGUGUGUUAAACUCUAUCAGCAGGGGAGAAAAUUACGGUACCUGAUUAAUACUCCACGGCUAGCUACGUGACAGCAGCCGCGGUAAUACGGAGGGGGCAAGCGUUAUCCGGAUUUACUGGGUGUAAAGGGAGCGUAGACGGCAGCACAAGUCUGGAGUGAAAUGCCGGGGCUUAACCCCGGAACUGCUGGGGAAACUGUGCAGCUAGAGUGCAGGAGAGGUAAGUGGAAUUCGUAGUGUAGCGGUGAAAUGCGUAGAUAUUAGGAGGAACACCAGUGGCGAAGGCGGCUUACUGGACUGUAACUGACGUUGAGGCUCGAAAGCGUGGGGAGCAAACAGGAUUAGAUACCCGGGUAGUC